ensembl:lncRNA
CGACAAUGAAGUCGGGACGGAAAAUGAGCCCUCAGCCUACAUUCUAGUACCUUUCAACGAUCCAGAUUUUGGACCGAUGACAAAGACUACGGACCCAAAGGUCUUCAAGAAUGUCAUCAAUUCACUAUCGGCAGCCGGUGGAGGGGAUGAGGAGGAACUGAGUCUUUCAGGGCUUCAGCUGGCCUUGACGAGGGCGCCGCAAAAUUCUGAGGUGUUCCUCUUCACGGAUGGACCAGCUAAAGACAAACACCUGAAAAGCACAGUGAUCGCGCUCAUAGAGCGGACGCAAACAGUGGUGAAUUUCAUGAUUUCCGGCACAACAGUGGUCAAUCGUAGGAAGAGGAGUAAGGACAACCAGAACCUUGACCGGAUCGCGGAAUCGGAUGCUCAGCUGUACAGAGACCUGGCUCAGGCUUCA